AUUGAACGCUGGCGGCAGGCCUAACACAUGCAAGUCGAGCGGAUGAAGGGAGCUUGCUCCUGGAUUCAGCGGCGGACGGGUGAGUAAUGCCUAGGAAUCUGCCUGGUAGUGGGGGAUAACGUCCAGAAACGGGCGCUAAUACCGCAUACGUCCUGAGGGAGAAAGUGGGGGAUCUUCGGACCUCACGCUGUCAGAUGAGCCUAGGUCGGAUUAGCUAGUUGGUGGGGUAAAGGCCUACCAAGGCGACGAUCCGUAACUGGUCUGAGAGGAUGAUCAGUCACACUGGAACUGAGACACGGUCCAGACUCCUACGGGAGGCAGCAGUGGGGAAUAUUGGACAAUGGGCGAAAGCCUGAUCCAGCCAUGCCGCGUGUGUGAAGAAGGUCUUCGGAUUGUAAAGCACUUUAAGUUGGGAGGAAGGGCAGUAAGUUAAUACCUUGCUGUUUUGACGUUACCAACAGAAUAGGCACCGGCUAACUUCGUG
rnacentral:rRNA from 1 species